UGUGCUCACAGAUGGUGACGGUGUGGAGAGACGGUGGUGUUUCCUCAGAAGAACCAGCAGAGUCACAAAGGACACCAGUCCAUCUCACCACCUUGACUUGCUGACUGAUGCUCGUCUGCACUGCACAGAGGAAAUCAACUGACCGAGGAGUGUUUCUGAGUGAGGGGGGAGGAGUCAUCAUCCAGGUAAAGUGACGUGGAUCAGUGGAUACACUUGUCUCCCCUUUAAAGGAGACGAUCCAAGUCAUCCUUAAAUAUGGGCAGCAUAUCAGUCUUGGACUGUCUAACCUGCAGCACUGAAUGACCACCACACAUGAGCAUGUUCCUGCAACAUUCAGCAUCUGAUCCUUCAUCUGUGUGCUUCUGCUUUUGUGUCACAUGUCAAACAGCUGGAGAGGAAACUACACCAGUGUACUGGGAUGUUUCAGCAACACGUGCCAGAUGCUGUUCCUUCAUGGUGACAUCACCAGAGACAGCCCCGCCCACCUCAGGACCUCGCCAUUGAUCAUGAUGAUUAUAAUGAUGACAGCGAGCGGAACUAAGACUGUAAAAAUCCACGACCAGAAUGUUUCUUUC